AGCAAACAGGAUUAGAUACCCUGGUAGUCCACGCCCUAAACGAUGUCUACUAGUUGUCGGGUCUUAAUUGACUUGGUAACGCAGCUAACGCGUGAAGUAGACCGCCUGGGGAGUACGGUCGCAAGAUUAAAACUCAAAGGAAUUGACGGGGACCCGCACAAGCGGUGGAUGAUGUGGAUUAAUUCGAUGCAACGCGAAAAACCUUACCUACCCUUGACAUGUACAGAACGCCGAAGAGAUUUGGUGGUGCUCGCAAGAGAACUGUAACACAGGUGCUGCAUGGCUGUCGUCAGCUCGUGUCGUGAGAUGUUGGGUUAAGUCCCGCAACGAGCGCAACCCUUGUCAUUAGUUGCUACGAAAGGGCACUCUAAUGAGACUGCCGGUGACAAACCGGAGGAAGGUGGGGAUGACGUCAAGUCCUCAUGGCCCUUAUGGGUAGGGCUUCACACGUCAUACAAUGGUACAUACAGAGGGCCGCCAACCCGCGAGGGGGAGCUAAUCCCAGAAAGUGUAUCGUAGUCCGGAUUGUAGUCUGCAACUCGACUACAUGAAGUUGGAAUCGUUAGUAAUCGCGGAUCAGCAUGUCGCGGUGAAUACGUUCCCGGGUCUUGUACACACCGCCCGUCACACCAUGGGAGCGGGUUCUGCCAGAAGUAGGUAGCUUAACCGUAAGGAGGGCGCUUACCACGGCAGGGUUCGUGACUGGGGUGAAGUCGUAACAAGGUAGCCGUAUCGGAAGGUGCGGCUGGAUCACCUCCUUUCUG
rnacentral:rRNA from 1 species